rnacentral:piRNA from 1 species
UGGACGGUGCGACUUCCUAUUCAUCUG